rnacentral:rRNA from 1 species
UUCUUCUCUCUGAUUCAAGUAGAAAUACAAAUGGAAAAAUUCGAAGGAUAUUCAGAAAAACAUAAAUCUCGUCAACAAUACUUUGUCUACCCACUUCUCUUUCAGGAGUAUAUUUAUGCAUUUGCCUACCAUUAUGGAUUAAAUAGUUCUGAACCUGUGGAAAUAGUUGUUAGUUGUAAUAACAAGAAAUUUAGUUCACAAGUAUAUAUAUAUAUAGGACAAAUGUUUCCUACAAGCAGUGGUAGUUACCACCACUUGCGUUUUGUAUGUUGUAUGUAG